GCCACCUUUUAACCAAUAUAAAAUAACUUAUAUAAUAUUGCUCGUUCCUAACUUAUCACUGAGUUUAAUGCAAGCAUAGUUGAUAAUAUCAUCUAGAAUGCUUAGAAUCUAUCAUACAAGAUACAUGAUGUUUCACUUGCUUUACAGUGAUCUAUAUUUACCAGAUUAAAUCGUCUCAGAAUUUAUAAAAUCGGUUAUAUGUAUCGUCGAUGAACUUCCAAUAUGUAGUAAAUUACUAUUUUUUUAUAACAACAUUAAAAUCUCACGAACAGGCUUUGCAGAUUUGGUUGAAAUGCUUGUUACCAAAUUGUCGUAUGUGAACUUCAUAUUUUUGUAAAUGGAUGUGACAUAAAAACUUGGUUAUUUCUGUUAAUAUUUUUAC
rnacentral:lncRNA from 1 species